AGACAGCAGCAGCCGCGGGAAUACGGAGGGUGCAAGCGUUAAUCGGAAUUACUGGGCGUAAAGCGUGCGCAGGCGGUUAUAUAAGACAGAUGUGAAAUCCCCGGGCUCAACCUGGGAACUGCAUUUGUGACUGUAUAGCUAGAGUACGGCAGAGGGGGAUGGAAUUCCGCGUGUAGCAGUGAAAUGCGUAGAUAUGCGGAGGAACACCGAUGGCGAAGGCAAUCCCCUGGGCCUGUACUGACGCUCAUGCACGAAAGCGUGGGGAGCAAACAGGAUUAGAUACCCGAGUAGUCCCUGUCUCUUAUAC
rnacentral:rRNA from 1 species